rnacentral:misc_RNA from 1 species
GUGAAUCAUCGAAUUUUUGAACGCAUAUUGCACUCUCUGGUAUUCCGGAGAGUAUGCCUGUUUGAGGGUAAUUAAAAAGAAUCUUUAACCAAUUUUUUUUGGUCAAAGGAAAUGAGUUCUCCGCGUUUAUAGCGGUAGCUUGAAAUAGAUGUUAGUCCCAUUUUAGUGGAGAGGCUAAAUAAUAUUAUUUGGCGAA